ensembl:snRNA U6 U6 spliceosomal RNA
GUGCUAGACCCAGAAGCACACCUACUAACAUUGGAACUUGAGAGAAGAUGAGCAUGGCUCCUGUAAAACAAUAUGACAUGUGAAUUCACAAAGCAUUCCAUAUUUUU